rnacentral:rRNA from 1 species
GACGAACGCUGGCGGCGUGCCUAAUACAUGCAAGUAGAACGCUGAAGAGAGGUGCUUGCUCUUCUUGGAUGAGUUGCGAACGGGUGAGUAACGCGUAGGUAACCUGCCUUGUAGCGGGGGAUAACUAUUGGAAACGAUAGCUAAUACCGCAUAACAAUGGAUGACACAUGUCAUUUAUUUGAAAGGGGCAAUUGCUCCACUACAAGAUGGACCUGCGUUGUAUUAGCUAGUAGGUGAGGUAAUGGCUCACCUAGGCGACGAUACAUAGCCGACCUGAGAGGGUGGUCGGCCACACUGGGACUGAGACACGGCCCAGACUCCUACGGGAGGCAGCAGUAGGGAAUCUUCGGCAAUGGGGGCAACCCUGACCGAGCAACGCCGCGUGAGUGAAGAAGGUUUUCGGAUCGUAAAGCUCUGUUGUAAGUCAAGAACGGGUGUGAGAGUGGAAAGUUCACACUGUGACGGUAGCUUACCAGAAAGGGACGGCUAACUACGUG